AAGGGCUUCAGGCAGAACUCCACCCUCAUCACCCACCGGCACAUUUACACUGGGGAGAGGCCCUACAAGUGUGGGGAGUGUGGGAAGAACUUCACCCUCAGCUCUGCCUUGACCAGACACCAAUGGACUCACCAGUAAGGGAAACCGUUUGAGUGCCCCGACUGCAGGAGGAGCUUCAACUGGUGCUUCCACCCUGAAUGAUCCCCCUGAUGGUGAGGCAACCCAUGGAGUCCAGUGACUGUCAGUCCAUCCCUUUCUACCAGAAAGUGCCAGUCCCCUUUCCCAGGGGCAACUUCUUCCAACAGAACCCUUCUUGGGGGGUGUGUGGAGAUUCCUGCCUUGGCUGGGGACCUCCCCAAGAUCACUCCUGGAGGUUGAGAGCAGAGAUCUCCCCACGAGUGUUGGUCUGGUGGAGUUCCGUCCAUCUCUAAUUAAGAAUUAUUGCUUUUGUACCAGCUUCAGUAGAAUUGCUUCAACAAUUGCUGUAGGGUAGAGCACUGUCCUGUCUUAUCCUGUACUCCUGGUAGUUUUAGUGUUUGUAUUGUGCAGUAAAUAAUUCUGAUGAAGAU